rnacentral:tRNA from 4 species
GCCAACGUAGCUCAACGGUAGAGCUCCGGUUUUGUAAACCGGGGGUUAUCGGUUCGAAUCCGAUCGUUGGCU